GCUGUUCCAGUGGGGUUGCUUGCUCGUCCACCGCUCUGCCUUUCCCUCGGCACGCAGGCGAAAGAGAGGGAUGUGGGAAGGCGUUUGUAGUCUCUGCUCUAACCCGCUCUUUCUCCUCCACCGCCUCGGCCUGCUUCCUGGGGUGAAGCCUGCACUGUCCUGCUCCAGACCUCCAGAGACGUGCUGGCCCCUCCCCUCCAUGUCAACUCCACAGCCCUGCUUCUGUCCUUGAGGCUGAGGAGACAGACUGAUCAUCUCUCAGGCCUGCCCGGGUCUCCUCUUCGGCUGUUCCCUCCAUGAGCAGUGCUUCCACAUCCACAUCCUGUCCACGUGGACGUGGGUUCACUUCCUGUUUGGAGAAUGUGAGAGCAGCACAGCGUGCUAGUCGUCUGAAGGUGCUAGGAUACGUCAAGCAGCACAUUAAGUGUUGUCUCUGUUGUACAGUACAGGACUGAAGAGCGUGUGGUUUACAUUUACAUUUAGUCAUUUAGCAGACGCUCUUAUCCAGAGCGACUUACAGUAAGUACAUUACAUUCCCCCGAGGCAAGUAGGGUGAAGUGCCUUGCCCAAGGACACAACGUCAUUUUCACGGCCAGGAAUUGAACCGGCAACCUUCUGAUUACUAGCCCGAUUCCCCAACCGCUCAGCCACCUGACUCCCAUAUACGUCAGGAGCACGUUAAGUGUUGUCUCUGUUGUACAGUACAGGACUGAAGAGCAUGCGGUUUGGAGUGAAUGUGCCGUUUGAGUGCGUUAUUGCGUUAUUGUCUUGUUGGUUUUGUUGUCCGUGUGUGUGCGUAUGCGUGUGUAAACGAGUGUGUGUUACGUGAUGAGACUCUGGUGCCUCUGUCUGGCCUGACGAGGUGAGGUAGUAGGUUGUAUAGUUUGUGGGAGGAAUCGAAUCCUAUUCAGGUGAUAACUAUACAACCUAUCACCUUCCUUGAGGGGCACAGCGAUCGUUUGGAGCCAGAAACCCUGUCUUGUUGCUGCUGCUUUGGACUUAACCACAGAAGAAGAGGAUGGAGUGUUUAUACAGCGCCUCCCUGCCACCUAGUGGCGAAUAGGAACUGCAACACCCUGAUGAAAUCAAAUACAAUUUUAGAGUGAUUUUUACAAGCAAUCUCACUAAAUCACCCUCUGUACUGCAGAUGGAAUGGUUUAACAUGUGGUUGGUAGUUGUUCGAGAGUACUGUGUACUUGUUUGACAUCACAACCGUAGAAAUAUUGUAUAUCCUGAAAAUAGUGACAUUCAAUGAAAUAAAUACAUGUUUGGAUUCUA